AGAGUUUGAUCCUGGCUCAGGAUGAACGCUAGCGGCAGGCCUAACACAUGCAAGUCGAGGGGUAACAGGGAGCUUGCUCCGCUGACGACCGGCGCACGGGUGCGUAACGCGUAUACAAUCUACCUUUUGCUACGGGAUAGCCCAGAGAAAUUUGGAUUAAUACCGCAUAGUAUAUUGAGAUCGCAUGGUUUUAAUAUUAAAGGUUACGGCAGAAGAUGAGUAUGCGUUCUAUUAGCUAGAUGGUGUGGUAACGGCACACCAUGGCAACGAUAGAUAGGGGCCCUGAGAGGGGGAUCCCCCACACUGGUACUGAGACACGGACCAGACUCCUACGGGAGGCAGCAGUGAGGAAUAUUGGACAAUGGGCGAGAGCCUGAUCCAGCCAUGCCGCGUGCAGGAAGACGGCCCUAUGGGUUGUAAACUGCUUUUAUACAGGAAGAAACACCUCUACGUGUAGAGGCUUGACGGUACUGUAAGAAUAAGGAUCGGCUAACUCCGUGCCAGCAGCCGCGGUAAUACGGAGGAUCCAAGCGUUAUCCGGAAUCAUUGGGUUUAAAGGGUCCGUAGGUGGAUAAUUAAGUCAGAGGUGAAAUCUUGCAGCUCAACUGUAAAAUUGCCUUUGAUACUGGUUAUCUUGAGUUAUUAUGAAGUAGUUAGAAUAUGUAGUGUAGCGGUGAAAUGCAUAGAUAUUACAUAGAAUACCAAUUGCGAAGGCAGAUUACUAACAAUAUACUGACACUGAUGGACGAAAGCGUGGGUAGCGAACAGGAUUAGAUACCCUGGUAGUCCACGCCGUAAACGAUGGAUACUAGCUG
rnacentral:rRNA from 1 species